CAGAGGCGAUGAAGGACGUGCUAAUCUGCGAUAAGCGCCGGUAAGGUGAUAUGAACCGUUAUAACCGGCGAUUUCCGAAUGGGGAAACCCAGUGUGAUUCGUCACACUAUCAUUAACUGAAUCCAUAGGUUAAUGAGGCGAACCGGGGGAACUGAAACAUCUAAGUACCCCGAGGAAAAGAAAUCAACCGAGAUUCCCCCAGUAGCGGCGAGCGAACGGGGAGGAGCCCAGAGCCUGAAUCAGCAUGUGUGUUAGUGGAAGCGUCUGGAAAGGCGCGCGAUACAGGGUGACAGCCCCGUACACAAAAGCGCAUGUGCUGUGAGCUCGAUGAGUAGGGCGGGACACGUGGUAUCCUGUCUGAAUAUGGGGGGACCAUCCUCCAAGGCUAAAUACUCCUGACUGACCGAUAGUGAACCAGUACCGUGAGGGAAAGGCGAAAAGAACCCCGGCGAGGGGAGUGAAAAAGAACCUGAAACCGUGUACGUACAAGCAGUGGGAGCACAGGUUUACCUGUGUGACUGCGUACCUUUUGUAUAAUGGGUCAGCGACUUAUAUUCUGUAGCAAGGUUAACCGUAUAGGGGAGCCGUAGGGAAACCGAGUCUUAACCGGGCGUUAAGUUGCAGGGUAUAGACCCGAAACCCGGUGAUCUAGCCAUGGGCAGGUUGAAGGUUGGGUAACACUAACUGGAGGACCGAACCGACUAAUGUUGAAAAAUUAGCGGAUGACCUGUGGCUGGGGGUGAAAGGCCAAUCAAACCGGGAGAUAGCUGGUUCUCCCCGAAAGCUAUUUAGGUAGCGCCUCGUGAAUUCAUCUCCGGGGGUAGAGCACUGUUUCGGCUAGGGGGCCAUCCCGGCUUACCAACCCGAUGCAAACUGCGAAUACCGGAGAAUGUUAUCACGGGAGACACACGGCGGGUGCUAACGUCCGUCGUGAAGAGGGAAACAACCCAGACCGCCAGCUAAGGUCCCAAAGUCAUGGUUAAGUGGGAAACGAUGUGGGAAGGCCCAGACAGCCAGGAUGUUGGCUUAGAAGCAGCCAUCAUUUAAAGAAAGCGUAAUAGCUCACUGGUCGAGUCGGCCUGCGCGGAAGAUGUAACGGGGCUAAACCAU
rnacentral:rRNA from 1 species